UACGUAGGGUGCAAGCGUUGUCCGGAAUUAUUGGGCGUAAAGGGCUCGUAGGCGGUCUGUUGCGUCGGGAGUGAAAACCCAGGGCUUAACCCUGGGCUGGCUUUCGAUACGGGCAGACUAGAGGUAUGCAGGGGAGAACGGAAUUCCUGGUGUAGCGGUGAAAUGCGCAGAUAUCAGGAGGAACACCGGUGGCGAAGGCGGUUCUCUGGGCAUUACCUGACGCUGAGGAGCGAAAGUGUGGGGAGCGAACAGG
rnacentral:rRNA from 1 species